rnacentral:rRNA from 1 species
AUGAGCCAGCUCGCAUCCUUUUCGAGAGCCCGCGUCCUUCCCACGAACCCUACCGCUGCCCCGCUCCUCCUCCUCCCACCUCAGUCGCCUCCCCCUAGACGCCGCCGCCUCCUCCCACCUCAGUCGCNNGGGCGCCACGAGGAAUGGAAGGUUGAGUUCGUUCGACGGCCGGUGCAGCAGGAGCAAGGAGCCAACUGUGGUCAAUGGCUAACCUCUAUCUCCUCUCUCUCUCUAUGGUUGAGAAGAAGGCCAAAUAGACGAAGAAGAAUUUGGCUCGAAAGUCUUGCCAAGGGUACGAUAAAAUUAGGCACAAUGGCAAGAUCUGUAGCAUCUACUGUGAACACAAAGCGGAGAAAAGGGAUUGCUUCCUCGUCCGAUUCAUGUUUCGGCAGUGCCGUGGGGGCUGUCGAGGUAAGCUCCAUUGACCCCCACCACGGCUUGCCCUUCCAAGCUUUCCUCCUCUCUGCCAUCCACGCGGCCAUCGGUGGUGCAGUAGGGGAGGCAACUCAGGUCAGGUGAGCAGCGGCAGAAAUCCACGGUGUGUUGCAAAGAACCAUGCUGAGGAUGGCUCGAUGCAAUAAGCCAUCAUCUCGACUGGGCCUGUGGCCCCAGCGGGAGAUGCCUAGGGCCGUGCCCAUCGACCAGGGCAGGGGGUGCCUACUAUGACAUGGACGAGUACACCAAACUGAUGUGAGCCGCCGCCAAUCCUAGCCCGUCGCCAAGCUCGUGAUGCUGGAGUGCUCCGCCCAAGUGUCUGAUCUAGGGGCCAAUUGGAAGGACAGGUUUCCUUCUUCACUUUACCAGACUUCAAAUGUACUAUCUAGCAGACUAGCACGUGUGCAUAUGAUGACUCCUUUUAUCUUUGAUGAAGGUAUUGGGAUUUCUUUAGGGGAAAUUGUAACAAUGUUGUUUGAAAUGGUGCUUCUCAAUUAUAGGUGGAAAGCCUGGCAUGGAGGCACAUAGGCUGCUGAUUAUGUUUCUGGAUUGGCCCUUGAGAAGGAGACCAAAGCAAACUUCAGCAGGAGUGUGUUCGAUAGAAUUGGCAAUGGGAUCGGGAGGUGGUGUCCAAGAAUUAUGUGGUUUGAUGGCACUAGGGGCAGGAGUGCUGAUUUAAUCAGACUAAGAAGAUGCCUAAAUAAGCUGUGAGGCUGCCUAUAUAUAAUUGUAUUUCUAAGUCAUUGUACUAUAUGUAAACCAAUUUAAGUCAUUCUACCAUCUGUAAUACAAUCCACAUUGCAUUAUCUUUCCAUCGAUAUCUCCUACUUACUCACUAC